rnacentral:rRNA from 1 species
GACGAACCGUGCGAACGUUGUUCGGAAUCACUGGGCUUAAAGGGCGCGUAGGCGGGCCGCCGCGUCCGGGGUGAAAUCCUCCCGCUCAACGGGAGAACGGCCUCGGAUACGGGCGGCCUGGAGGCGGGUAGGGGCACGCGGAACUGUGGGUGGAGCGGUGAAAUGCGUUGAGAUCCACAGGAACUCCGGUGGCGAAGGCGGCGUGCUGGACCCGAUCUGAUGCUGAGGCGCGAAAGCCAGGGGAG